UGUGGGAGCGAGCUUGCUCGCGAUGGCGGUAUUUCAGUCGACUUCAAAGCGGCUGAUCCACCGCUAUCGCGAGCAAGCUCGCUCCCACA
rnacentral:misc_RNA from 1 species